rnacentral:rRNA from 1 species
CACGUAGGGUGCGAGCGUUGUCCGGAAUUAUUGGGCGUAAAGAGCUCGUAGGCGGUGUGUCGCGUCGGCCGUGAAAACUUGGGGCUUAACUCUGAGCGUGCGGUCGAUACGGGCAUCACUUGAGUUCGGCAGGGGAGACUGGAAUUCCUGGUGUAGCGGUGAAAUGCGCAGAUAUCAGGAGGAACACCGGUGGCGAAGGCGGGUCUCUGGGCCGAUACUGACGGCUGAGGAGCGAAAGCAAGGGGAUCAAACAGG